rnacentral:sRNA from 1 species
AGUUAGUCGCGUAGGGUACAGAGGUAAGAUGUUCUAUCUUUCAGACCUUUUACUUCACGUAAUCGGAUUUGGCUGAAUCUUUUAGCUCACCAGCAGGCCGCCCAUCGGGCCAAAGGUU